UCAGAAGAUCAAGGUUCGACUCCUUCGCGCCUGCAUCGAGGUGCUCAUGUGUCGUCAGCUCGUGUCGUGAGAUGUGGCUUAAGUGCCAUACGAGCGCAACCCUGUCGCCAGUACCAGCAAGUCAUGUUGGGGACUCUGGCGAGACUGCCACCGCAAGGUGUGAGGAAGGCGGGGAUGACGUCAAAUCAGCACGGCCCUUACGUCCGGGGCGACACACGUGUUACAAUGGCAACUACAGAGGGAAGCCACCUGGUGACAGGGAGCAGAUCUCGAAAAGUUGUCUCAGUUCGGAUUGGAGUCUGCAACUCGACUCCAAGAAGCUGGAUUCGCUAGUAAUCGCGAAUCAGAAUGUCGCGGUGAAUACGUUCCCGGGUCUUGUACACACCGCCCGUCACACCAUGGGAGUUGGGAAUGCCCGAAGUCUGUGACCCAACCGUAAGGAGGGAGCAGCCGAAGGCAGGCUCGAUAACUGGGGUGAAGUCGUAACAAGGUAGCCGUAUCGGAAGGUGC
rnacentral:rRNA from 1 species